rnacentral:rRNA from 1 species
CCUACGGGAGGCAGCAGUGAGGAAUAUUGGUCAAUGGCCGGAAGGCUGAACCAGCCAAGCCGCGUGAGGGAGGAAGGCGCAGAGCGUCGCAGACCUCUUUUGCCGGGGGACAAAAGGCCGGACUCGUCCGGUCCUGAGGGUACCCGGAGAAAAAGCAUCGGCCAACUCCGUGCCAGCAGCCGCGGUACUACGGGGGAUGCGAGCGUUAUCCGGAUUCAUGGGGUUAAACGGGUGCGCAGGCGGGCCUUUCAGCCGGCGGUGAAAUCGCGGGGCUCAGCCCCGCAGAGCCGCCGGAACUGGGGGCCUUGAGUGCGGCGGAGGCAUGCGGAAUGCGCGGUGUAGCGGUGAAAUGCAUAGAGAUCGCGCAGAACCCCGAUUGCGAAGGCAGCGCGCCGUGCCGCCACUGACGCUGAGGUACGAAAGCGCGGGGAUCGAACAGGAUUAGAUACCCGUGUAGUC